rnacentral:rRNA from 1 species
CCAGACUCCUACGGGAGGCAGCAGUGGGGGAUAUUGCACAAUGGGGGAAACCCUGAUGCAGCGACGCCGCGUGUGGGAAGACGGUCCUCUGGAUUGUAAACCACUGUCCCCAGGGACGAAGAUGACGGUACCUGUCGAAUAAGCCACGGCUAACUACGUGCCAGCAGCCGCGGUAAUACGUAGGUGGCAAGCGUUGUCCGGAUUUACUGGGUGUAAAGGGCGUGUAGCCGGGUUGACAAGUCAGAUGUGAAAUCCUGCGGCUUAACCGCAGAACUGCAUUUGAAACUGUUGAUCUUGAGUACUGGAGAGGCAGACGGAAUUCCUAGUGUAGCGGUGAAAUGCGUAGAUAUUAGGAGGAACACCAGUGGCGAAGGCGGUCUGCUGGACAGCAACUGACGGUGAGGCGCGAAAGCGUGGGGAGCAAACAGGAUUAGAUACCCUCGUAC